rnacentral:rRNA from 1 species
GGGGAAUAUUGGACAAUGGGCGAAAGCCUGAUCCAGCCAUGCCGCGUGUGUGAAGAAGGUCUUCGGAUUGUAAAGCACUUUAAGUUGGGAGGAAGGGCAGUAAAUUAAUACUUUGCUGUUUUGACGUUACCGACAGAAUAAGCACCGGCUAACUCUGUGCCAGCAGCCGCGGUAAUACAGAGGGUGCAAGCGUUAAUCGGAAUUACUGGGCGUAAAGCGCGCGUAGGUGGUUCGUUAAGUUGGAUGUGAAAUCCCCGGGCUCAACCUGGGAACUGCAUUCAAAACUGACGAGCUAGAGUAUGGUAGAGGGUGGUGGAAUUUCCUGUGUAGCGGU